rnacentral:lncRNA from 1 species
UUUAUCCAUUGGGAAUAUGGGACUCAGGUACCAAAAUGCUCAUUCUUUUGUCAAUAUUGCCUCAAAAGAAAAUUCUAAUUAUUAUUGCCUUCGGUUUUUUUUUUUUUUUUGUUCCUGCUAUUGGUUUGUGAAACUGGAAAAUGCAAUGUAUAGGUGGCUAAAUUUUUAGUGUUUGUAUCAUUUUCCUGGGGAGUGGAUAGUCAUAUGUUGGUUAGCUAU